GGAGGAAUACCCAAGUCCGGCUGAAGGGAUCGGUCUUGAAAAUCGACAGGGGCUUAACGGCUCGCGGGGGUUCGAAUCCCUCUUCCUCCG
rnacentral:tRNA from 2 species